rnacentral:rRNA from 1 species
UACGUAGGGGGCAAGCGUUGUCCGGAAUCAUUGGGCGUAAAGCGCGUGUAGGCGGCUUGGUAAGUCUGCUCUGAAAGCCCGGGGCUCAACCCCGGGAGGCGGGUGGAUACUGCUGAGCUCGAGUCCGGAAGAGGCGAGUGGAAUUCCUGGUGUAGCGGUGAAAUGCGCAGAUAUCAGGAGGAACACCAAUGGCGAAGGCAGCUCGCUGGGACGUGACUGACGCUGAGACGCGAAAGCGUGGGGAGCAAACAGG